GGUUCGAUGGCGUAGUUGGUUAUCGCAUCUGUCUAACAAACUUUGAGUCAGAAUGUGUGCGGGUCCCGCCGCACACAUUCUGAUUUAAUGGGUCACAGAAGGUCGCCAGUUCGAACCUGGCUCGAAUCA
rnacentral:tRNA from 1 species